GAGGGAAAACACAAUGACUGAGUGGCGGACGGGUGAGUAACGCGUAGGGAACCUGGCCCUUACAGGGGGAUAACAGAUGGAAACAACUGCUAAUACCGCAUAAGCGCCCAGCCUCGCAUGAGGCAGAGUGAAAAACUAAGGUGGUAGGGGAUGGCCCUACGUCCGAUUAGCUAGUUGGUAUGGUAACGGCAUACCAAGGCGACGAUCGGUAGCCGGCCUGAGAGGGUGGACGGCCACAUUGGGACUGAGACACGGCCCAAACUCCUACGGGAGGCAGCAGUGGGGGAUAUUGCACAAUGGGGGAAACCCUGAUGCAGCGACACCGCGUGGGUGAAGAAGCGCUUCGGCGUGUAAAGCCCUAUCAGUGGGGAAGAAAAAGGACGGUACCCAAAGAAGAAGCACCGGCUAAAUACGUGCCAGCAGCCGCGGUAAUACGUAUGGUGCAAGCGUUAUCCGGAAUGACUGGGUGUAAAGGGAGCGUAGACGGUUGUACAAGUCUGAUGUGAAAGCCCACGGCUCAACUGUGGGAGUGCAUUGGAAACUGUAGAACUAGAGUAUCGGAGAGGCAAGUGGAAUUCCUAGUGUAGCGGUGAAAUGCGUAGAUAUUAGGAGGAACACCAGUGGCGAAGGCGGCUUGCUGGACGAAAACUGACGUUGAGGCUCGAAAGCGUGGGGAGCAAACAGGAUUAGAUACCCUGGUAGUCCACGCUGUAAACGAUGAAUACUAGGUGUUGGGGCCCGAAGGGCGUCGGUGCCGUCGCAAACGCAGUAAGUAUUCCACCUGGGGAGUACGUUCGCAAGAAUGAAACUCAAAAGGAAUUGACGGGGACCCGCACAAGCGGUGGAGCAUGUGGUUUAAUUC
rnacentral:rRNA from 1 species